rnacentral:rRNA from 1 species
UACGUAGGGCGCAAGCGUUGUCCGGAAUUAUUGGGCGUAAAGAGCUCGUAGGCGGUUUGUCGCGUCUGCUGUGAAAACCUAAGGCUCAACCUUGGGCUUGCAGUGGGUACGGGCAGACUAGAGUGCGGUAGGGGUGACUGGAAUUCCUGGUGUAGCGGUGGAAUGCGCAGAUAUCAAGAGGAACACCGAUGGCGAAGGCAGGUCACUGGGCCGCAACUGACGCUGAGGAGCGAAAGCAUGGGGAGCGAACAGG